AUUUAAGUAAUUUAAAAUAAAAUCUUGAUUUGUGGUAUCAGUAAUGUAAUAUUAAUUACCUUAAAUU
rnacentral:tRNA from 1 species